rnacentral:lncRNA from 1 species
UUAUUGAACUGAAAACGUUUGAACAGUGAAAGCAUUGAAUGGACCAACCAUCAGUUUUAAAAAGCUCGAAUUUGUAAGUCCUCAGAGAAAAUCUCAGGAUUAACUUGUUUGGCAUCAUAUGGUUAGCCCAUCACAAACAGCAAGCCCAACACAUUAACUCAGGUGAACUAGACUGACUGGGCAGGGUCCUGAAAGACAGUACAUGCUAGGCAUUUUGCACUAAACUUUCUAGGAUAUAGAAGGCUCUUAAGGGUAGCAAGAAGGAAUCAAUGGCACAUCCAAUAACUAAAGAAAAGACUAUGUAUGGUUAGCCCAUCACAAACAGCAAGCCCAACACAUUAACUCAGGUGAACUAGACUGACUGGGCAGGGUCCUGAAAGAAAGUACAUGCUAGGCAUUUUGCACUAAACUUUCUAGGAUAUAGAAGGCUCUUAAGGGUAGCAAGAAGGAAUCAAUGGCACAUCCAAUAACUAAAGAAAAGACUAUGUAUGCCCAAAAUUGGUCACAAUAUUUAGUCUACUCUGGGCAUAGCCUAUUCCAGACUGCUGC